rnacentral:tRNA from 1 species
GCUCCCGUAGCCCAAUGGCAACGGCGCCUCGCUUCGAACGAGGAGAUUGCAGGUUCGAGUCCUGCCGGGAGUGCCA